GAUGAACGCUGGCGGCGUGCCUAAUACAUGCAAGUCGAGCGAACAGACGAGGAGCUUGCUCCUCUGACGUUAGCGGCGGACGGGUGAGUAACACGUGGAUAACCUACCUAUAAGACUGGGAUAACUUCGGGAAACCGGAGCUAAUACCGGAUAAUAUAUUGAACCGCAUGGUUCAAUAGUGAAAGACGGUUUUGCUGUCCCUUAUAGAUGGAUCCGCGCCGCAUUAGCUAGUUGGUAAGGUAACGGCUUACCAAGGCAACGAUGCGUAGCCGACCUGAGAGCGUGAUCGGCCACACUGGAACUGAGACACGGUCCAGACUCCUACGGGAGGCAGCAGUAGGGAAUCUUCCGCAAUGGGCGAAAGCUUGACGGAGCAACGCCGCGUGAGUGAUGAAGGUCUUCGGAUCGUAAAACUCUGUUAUUAGGGAAGAACAAAUGUGUAAGUAACUAUGCACGUCUUGACGGUACCUAAUCAGAAAGCCACGGCUAACUACGUG
rnacentral:rRNA from 1 species